ensembl:lncRNA
GAAAGAUAAUGUAGCUCCUUUGAGACUACAGCCUUAGGCAGAAUCUCUUAAUGGGGGUUUUGUGGCUGCCAGGCAGUACCAGGGUCUUACAGCACAGUUCCUUCUUCUGCUGACAGGCAGGAGGUUUACAUUUCUACUGCGGACACAUUCAGACUGAAGCUGUGACUGAAGAAGAUAAAGCAGCCCUAAGACUGAUGCAUCUAGGUCACUGCUCCUGCUAUCUGCCAGUGCUUUUCUAGCCCCAGAAGAGAACAACCUGCCCAGGAAAUCAAGCAGCAAUGCUUGGAAGGGACUCCUCUCCAGUGGAUGCAUACCAACAUGAUGGAAUUGUGAAAUGACAUGUAUAAUUACGAUAGGAAGAGAUGAACUUUCAUGACGCUUCCUUUACAGAUCAAUAAGCCUCUGGGUUAAUUGCAGAAUUUCUUGCUGUUAAGUCCAGAACACCUGCUGUAAAACAAGAGGAUUUCCAGAGUAUCCUGAGGAAAACCUGCACAGGACCUUCAGGACUACAGAAAAUGUGACUCUUUGACUGUUCCCUGGUCAGAGAUGGCUUAGAGUGCCUUACCUCCUCCACCACCCAGCUCUGCCAGAAGAUUUGAAGCACCUUGCAAGCAUGACACCUUCCAGGAGGUACAAGGGACCACAUGACUGAUAAGUCAUAUAAGCUCUCUUUCCUGGAGAUGUCAGCCAAAAUGCCGCAUGAUCACCAACAAGCGCAAAAAUGAACAAACUUCAGGGAUCAAGUCUAAGCAAGAGAUUAGAGAAGACAUCCCCCCAGAAUGCUCCCAAACUUCCUACUCUGGUUCCUCCUGAAGAGCAGAAUUCUGCUUGGACAAACUACCUACAGACUGAAAUCCAAGAAUGCAGCAGUCAGGAUGAGAUGAGUGCCUGGCCUAGCAUUACCUCUGGAUAUGAUAUUCAAAACAGAUGAUCUGUGCUUAGAUGCAAGUUUCUGAGUUGGUCUCAGCUCUAGAAGUUACUGGCUUGACCUAAAGCUAGUAAGUCAGUGGGAAUCUUAAGAUGGGUUUUGAAGGAUUUUGGGUCAGGAUUUUUGUGAAUAUCACGUUCAGUAAUGCAUUGAGACCGACCUCCUAUAUUUUGCUUUGGACACUGACAUUGGACAAGGGCAAUCUAAAAAAAAACCUUUGAGCUGAUGAUUAAGAGGGAGGAAACCUGAAAUAGUAAAUGAUUAUCUCACAAGAGUCUCACUUAGUGCUUUAACAUAUUCAAAGUAAUAUAUUUACAUUCUCUAAGGAAGGCAAAUGGAGAUGUAAAAAUACCUCUUAAGACUUACUUUAUACUUCUGUGAAUGUUUCUGGAGUGUGAUUACCAUUGUUGAGUUUUCUAAGUACAGCACCUUGACAGAAAUAGCUUGUAACCUCAAUGAUUGUUGGAAAAUGGUUGUCUUUCACCUGGUUCUUUUCUCUGAUGUGUUUAAGGAUUCAAAACCAAGGAAACUGGAAAAUGAAAUAACUCACUUAGAACAUUGGGUAUCCACUGCUUAGUGUGAAUAGCAAGCAAAGACAAAGCAUCUCUAAAUGUGAAAAAAUUUCUUUUUAUUUAUAAUGCACUUGUGGAGUUGCUAUUCAGACAAAAGUUCCCAUUUGAUGAAAUAAAUUCAGUGUAACCCUUUAAGUAAAUUCUGCCUGCUAAUAAACAUGGCCUGUAGAUCAGGCAGAAGAUUGCUGUGUUGAUAUGGGAGCACUGCAUCAUCACUCAUUGUCUGGAAGGUGUGAUUACAGAAUGCAUAAAGGGGUUGUAAAGGGGCUGAGAUGUAUGAUUUCUGUGGUACUGUACAAACCAGUUCUAAGCCUGGUAAUGUCAAAUGCUGCUUAUGUGGGAGAAAAUCUUUGUCAGAUGCAAUCCAGUGACUUCAGACAAGUGGAAAGAAUGGUGUGAAAUAAAAAGUGUUCUGAAACACUAUCAAUCAUACUCCAAAAAAUAACUGUGGUGAGGCAGAGAUUAUUUGAGGCAGACUGUUGGACUGUCAACUUGCUACAGAGCCAAAGGCUGUCCUUGACUAUGGAAAACCAUAGGCAAUGUAUAUGUUAGUUUAUAUUUUCAUCAGAUGCUGCCCUUUGCAAGGCACAAUCAAGGAGAAGAGAGUUAAUUGUGCUUUCGCACAGCGAGACCAACCUGCUUUGUAUUUGGUAAGGAGUGGUGCAAAAGUGAACCCACUCCCAGUAUGAUUUUAUAGUCAAUUGUUUGUUCGAGGUGACAGAAUAUCAAUUCCUCUAACAAAGAAAAGGAAAACGUAUACUGUGGCCAAAGCAGACUCAAGAGCCAAAAUGUAGGAAGUAAAAACUAAUGAUGCUGACUUGGAAAAAUUUAGCUUACAUCUAAAAGAUGGAGCUGAAUAUACAGUCUGUCAUCUCAUAAUACCACGAAAACUGAACUGGACGGGAAAAAGAGAUCUCUGAAGGUUUGCUUGCUGCUUAAUCCAGAAAUAAGUUCCUAUUAUUUGAGACUGCUGAAAAGUCUUUGCCACGGGGAAGUAACUGGAAAUCAAAGUACAGAAGAUGGAGCACACCACCAUCAAAUGAAAUUUGAAAUUUUGAACAAUGGAAUGCUAAAAAAAAAUGUUUUAAAUUGAAGACAAAUAGAUAAAAUGGAUGUGAAAGAGCAGGGAGAGGGUAAAGCUUGUGGAAUCUCAGAAUACAAAUAAACAGUCCAAAUUAAAAGUGACAAAAAUAGAAAGCAAAACACAUGCAAGAAAAUCUGUAAUUAACAGUUGUGUCUAUGAGUAAGUUGUAGCUAUGUCUGGCAACAGCACUGCAGAACUAUUUGCCUGUUCCCAAACCUGUUUCCACAGCAGUCCUCUUUCAUAUGAGCCCUGUUUAUCCCCUGCAUGUGAUCAGACACAGGUUGUCUGAGAAAAGAGGUUUUUUCUGGGGAAAUGUUCUGUAUCAUGCUACUUAGCCAUGAAUUGAUUUUUGUAGUUCAAUGGAAAAUGUGCCUCUCAACUACUGAGAACCCCAUUACUUAUUUUCAUGAACACUUUGUCCUGGAAUACCUAUGUUCAGCAUAACUGAUGGUACCUGCCGUAUCUCUUCUGAAGUUAGUACAGUCCAAUGAGACAUUUAAUUGGGAAAAAAAAAGUGCUCUUUUAGAUCUCUACUGUUUUGUGGUUCACGAGAUGUGACCUUUUUCACUAAACUAUAUGUUAUAAGAAUUAAAGUCAGACAUAUCGUUCCUGAUUGCACAAAAGUAUGGUUGUAGUACAGCUGAUCCAGGCAAAGAUGGCUUCAACUGAGUAUUUUUCAUGUGGAGAAUCACAUAACAUCAAAAUAAAUAAUUUUCAGUCUUUAGCUGUGUAGCAGAAAUGCUAAGUCACGGCCUGAAACAGUGAUUGAGCACCUGGUGGGAAGGCAGGGCCAAACCAGGGGAGCUCAGCUGCAUACAAUACACCUGAGUGACUGGAAGGGGUGGAGCCAGGAUCCACCCCUUCCCAGACCUCAUUUAAGGGUUGGCGGUGGCUGUGAAGGUAUCUUACUGGAGACUCCUGUCUUCCUCAGGCUUUCUUAAGUGUGUUGAUGCCCGGGCUGUCUUUUCCCCAGAAGCAGGAGCAAAAGAGAAGAAACUUUUCUUCACUUUGCAAAACGAUGUCUCUUUUGCACCACUGACUUUUUUCACUCCAUAAAUGAUGAGUUUGAGAAAUGAGUUAUCCAUCAGGAAGAUCAUCAGACCCUUAAGUGAAAAGUCACACACUGAGAAUACUUUCCACAAACCAGGUGGACCGGUGACGCGCCGCUGCCUAUUAAUCAUUCACCAGCCGGGGAGCAGCGAUUCCUGAGCUCGGUGCGAGCAGCGCCGGCGGCCGCCUCCGUCCGUCCCCGUGCCCGCGCCCGGAGCACCGCGCCGGAGGGAGCCC